UGCUUCUGUUUUAUGUUUUGGUUUUUUGGCCCCAAGGUAUGUGCUCUUAGCUCCCUGACCAGGGAAUGAAUCUGCACCCCUUGCAUUGGAAGACAAAGCCUUAAUCACUGGACCACCAGGGAAGUCCCUCAUCAAGUUGUUUUGAAGAUGAAAUGAUAGAAUGUAUGUAUAAGUAUUCGAGCACAGGGCCAGGUACCUAGUGCUCCACAAGCGGUAGCCAUUAGUUCAAGAUGGUUCUUUGAAGGUUGGAUAUGGCAGGUAACACCCAUUAGUUUUAUAUCAUUUAUUUCUCUUUUAUUUAUUUAUUUAUCUUUUGAGGUACGCGGGCCUCUCACUGUUGUGGCCUCUCCCGUUGUGGAGCACAGGCUCCGGACGCGCAGGCUUAGCGGCCAUGGCUCACGGGCCCAGCUGCUCCACGGCACGUGGCAUCCUCCCGGACCGGGCCACGAACCCGUGUCCCCCGCAUCAGCAGGCUGACUCUCAACCACUGCGCCACCAGGGAAGCCCUAGUUCUCUUUUUAAGUAGGGGGUAUGCCAGUGUGAUUAGCUGGGUGACAGUAAGAAGUAAGGUCCUGUCCUGUUUGGAUUAAGGCAAAGGGAAAUGAGCCCAGCCAAGGAUUCAGUGAUCUCAAACUCCCCAGGGAAACUGCAGGCAGGUGCACCAGAGGGAGCCAAGACAUGAGAGACGGCAGAUGGACCACGGCCUCUCCUCCUCCUCUGGCCCAGGAAAAGCACACAGAAGCCAAAGCGGCUAGUCCAGGACUGGAGGAACUGAUGUGCCGCUUCUGAAAAACGAAAUCCACAUACACGAAAUGCAGGCAGAACGAGACUCACCCAAAGAAAACUCUCACCCAAAGAAAAUGAGUAAAAGUGCAGUUUAUUAUGUACAGCAUUGGAAAGGGAGGCCACCUGGAAAAAACUCUCGUACUAACACUGUCAUCCUAGAGCUCCUUCUAUGCCUCCUCACUCCCAGGCAAUUUAAUUCCAACCUUUUGGACUAUGAAUCCACAAGGCAGAAGAGCGAAGGUUGUUUGGUAUCUGGAGAUAGACUCAAGGAACAGAAAGCACUGAACCUCUAAGUCUGACAAGAGAUUUUCAGCCAGGAUAUGUGGUUGUCUCCUGGUCCUCAGUGGUCGAGGGUGAGCCACCUCACAAAAGAGACAAAAUCAUUAUUUAAAAAUUCAAAAUAUAAAUGCAGCUUGAGUUCCAAGCCAGAAUGCUCUGUAUAUUGUAUAUCUAAUGAACUCUACCAGGCACCUGGAUCCACGGUGGUUCAAGGUUUUGUAAAAUAACCGUAGAAAUGGGCUGUCAGGAGGGGACUCUCGUAGGCUGGAAUUUGACAGAGUGACCCAGCUAAGGACAGAUAUGAAGGGCAGCUUUGGGUAAGGAAGCUGCUAUUCUUAGACUUUUCUAGGUGAACUCAGAGCUUCAAAGAGGAAGUGGUACAAAUGUCACCAGGCGGCUUUCCAGACCAAUAGAAGAAUGCCAGGCUACUUGGCUUCACAGGCAUUUGUGAAACGGAAGAUGCUUCUUAAUAUUACAGCAGUGGUGGUUCAGAAGGGCUGACCACUUCCUCCUUCAGCAUCACCAUAUACGACAGAAAAAAAAAAAUCACCAGGGAAAUAAAAAGGAUCUAUACCUAUAUAGAUAUGCUAAGCUUGAGAGCAUCUUCCCAAGCUCCUUGGAUAUUGUGUGCCCGAGAGACUAUGAAUUCCUUCUACUACUUAAUGAAUGGUAACCAAGAUAGCUCACAGUGUACACGAGUCGAUAGCAUGCAGACAGGAAAAUAUAAUGGUUUUCUGAAGAUAUAUUUUUUUAAAGUAUUAGUCCCUUAAGCUAUUCAAAUGGGUAUAUAAACAAUGGCUUAUAGAACUUAGAGAAAAUUUUAUUUAAAAAAAUCAAAACUAUUUAGAACCUGAUAUAUGAAAAUAGGCAAAAGUGAGGAAAAAAAGCACUUUUGUGACAAGUGUUUAGCUGGUUUGAAAGACCACAGAGGAAUCAUUUACUCAUAAAGGGGCUCAGAGAAGUUAAAAAAACAAACCACCCAUGUUAUUUUAAAAGGACGUCUACAGCAAUGGAUUUAGAAGUCUUUCAAGGGUUAGGGUCAUCAUUUUCCUUGGUCUUCCCCUUUUUCUCCAGUGCUAACAGGUACUGGCAAGGACAUGUCUACCCUUAAGUAAGGAUUACUUUGCAGCAUCGGGGGUGUGGGUGGGGCAGUUUGAGUUUAGAAGGUAAACUGAUGUUAGGGAAAUUUCCUUAGCUGAGACUCCCCGGAAGUAAGGCACAUGUGGCCCAGAGAAGCUGGUUGUAGCCCGAGGUCACUGUUCUCUGCAAAACAUUUGUCCAGCCAGGGUGUCGGGUUGGGAUGAUAGUCUGCCUUCCUCCUUUUGGCCUGGCUGCUGACAGAGGGCACAGAAUGACUCAAUGAGAUUCGAAAGAAGAUUUAACCUAUCGCAUAACAAUCUAAAACUACGAACUUUGAAGUAUUUUAGAGUGAGAGAUUAUCUUACAUAAAUCAUCACUCUCACGUACUAUUUACAAGCUAACAAUCUUCAUCUGUGGCUAGGAGCACUACACGUUCUAAGAACAUCACACUCGACAUAUGGAAAAAGGAAGGGAGGGAAGAAAGUCAAGGUCCCCACCCUAUUCCCUCCUUAUGGGUUAGAGGCUGGUUUGGUCCCCACUUCAUCCUUAGGAGGGAAGAGGUCAUCUCUGCAUCGGCCUACAUGGCUCACUGUUUUGCCCCCAUGAUGCCUUGCAGCAUAUCUAUGGGCAGAGGGAAGACGAUUGUCGAGUUUUUCUCAGCAGCAAUGGUGGUCAGUGUCUGAAGGUACCGGAGCUGAAGGGCAGCAGGAGAUUCGGUGAUGACCAUGGAGGCUUCUUUCAGAGCCCUGGAUGCAUUCAUUUCUCCCUCAGCGGCAAUGACCUACAGAACAGUGGCAAGGAGAAGUCAAACCAGAGAACACAGGCGGGUGUUGAGCAGUUCAAACCGGGGGCACCAAACAAGGGGACGAUUCAGAAUACUGUGUAGGGGCUGAGAAAGUGAAUGACCCCAGUGACUGGAUACAAAGCCUUUUGCAAGUCAGAUGGAUUUCCAAUGCUUUGAUUUCAAAGAAAGGGAAGAGGACCUUAUUGUACUGCAAGCGGAUGGAUAAUUAAAAGUAUUUUUUGAUGAAA